AUAAGAGGUCCCGCCUGCCCCGUGACUAUAAGUUUAACGGCCGCGGUAUUUUGACCGUGCAAAGGUAGCGCAAUCACUUGUCUUUUAAAUAAAGACCUGUAUGAAUGGCACGACGAGGGCUCAACUGUCUCCUUCCCCAUAUCAAUGAAAUUGAUCCCCCCGUGCAGAAGCGGGCAUAACAACAUAAGACGAGAAGACCCUGUGGAGCUUUAAAUGACUGAAUAACUUACAUAAAAACCUUUAGAUAAACCAGCAAACUAAGUUAAACCUUAUUCAAAUAUUUUUGGUUGGGGUGACCACGGGGUAAAAUCCAACCCCCGCGAGGACUGAGGAUAAAAUCCUCAAAACUAAGAGCACCAGCUCUAAGUAUUAAUAAAAUUAACCUAUAGAUCCGGAUAGGCCGAUCAACGGACCGAGUUACCCCAGGGAUAACAGCGCAAUCCUCUUACAGAGCCCAUAUCGCCAAGAGGGUUUACGACCUCGAUGUUGGAUCAGGACAUCCUAAUGGUGUAACCGCUAUUAAGGGUUCGUUUGUUCAACGAUUAAAGUCCUACGUGAUCU
rnacentral:rRNA from 1 species